CCUACGGGCGGCAGCAGUGAGGAAUAUUGGUCAAUGGACGAGAGUCUGAACCAGCCAAGUAGCGUGAAGGAUGACUGCCCUAUGGGUUGUAAACUUCUUUUAUAUGGGAAUAAAAUGUUCCACGUGUGGGAUUUUGUAUGUACCAUAUGAAUAAGGAUCGGCUAACUCCGUGCCAGCAGCCGCGGUAAUACGGAGGAACCGAGCGUUAUCCGGAUUUAUUGGGUUUAAAGGGAGCGUAGGUGGAUUGUUAAGUCAGUUGUGAAAGUUUGCGGCUCAACCGUAAAAUUGCAGUUGAAACUGGCAGUCUUGAGUACAGUAGAGGUGGGCGGAAUUCGUGGUGUAGCGGUGAAAUGCUUAGAUAUCACGAAGAACUCCGAUUGCGAAGGCAGUUCACUGGACUGCAACUGACACUGAGGCUCGAAAGUGUGGGUAUCAAACAGGAUUAGAUACCCGUGUAGUC
rnacentral:rRNA from 1 species